rnacentral:rRNA from 1 species
GAGACAGCAGUAGCCACGGUAAUACGGAGGAUCCAAGCGUUAUCCGGAAUCAUUGGGUUUAAAGGGUCCGUAGGCGGUUUAGUAAGUCAGUGGUGAAAGCCCAUCGCUCAACGGUGGAACGGCCAUUGAUACUGCUGAACUUGAAUUAUUAGGAAGUAACUAGAAUAUGUAGUGUAGCGGUGAAAUGCUUAGAGAUUACAUGGAAUACCAAUUGCGAAGGCAGGUUACUACUAAUUGAUUGACGCUGAUGGACGAAAGCGUGGGGAGCGAACAGGAUUAGAUACCCCCGUAGUCCCUGUCUCUUAUAC